GACGAACGCUGGCGGCGUGCUUAACACAUGCAAGUCGAACGGUAAGGCCCUUCGGGGUACACGAGUGGCGAACGGGUGAGUAACACGUGGGUGAUCUGCCCUGCACUUCGGGAUAAGCCUGGGAAACUGGGUCUAAUACCGGAUAGGACCACUGCCUGCAUGGGUGGUGGUGGAAAGCUUUUGCGGUGUGGGAUGGGCCCGCGGCCUAUCAGCUUGUUGGUGGGGUGAUGGCCUACCAAGGCGACGACGGGUAGCCGGCCUGAGAGGGUGACCGGCCAGACUGGGACUGAGAUACGGCCCAGACUCCUACGGGAGGCAGCAGUGGGGAAUAGUGCACAAUGGGCGCAAGCCUGAUGCAGCGACGCCGCGUGAGGGAUGACGGCCUUCGGGUUGUAAACCUCUUUCAGCACCGACGAAGCGCAAGUGACGGUAGGUGCAGAAGAAGGACCGGCCAACUACGUGCCAGCAGCCGCGGUAA
rnacentral:rRNA from 1 species